rnacentral:rRNA from 1 species
AGAGUUUGAUCAUGGCUCAGAACGAACGCUGGCGGCAUGCCUAACACAUGCAAGUCGAACGCUCACCGGGGUUUUGGCUCUGGUGGGAGUGGCGCACGGGUGAGUAGCGCGUGGGAACCUGCCCUUUUGUGGGGGAUAACCGAGGGAAACUUCGGCUAAUACCGCAUGCGCCCCUGGGGCGACCUGGGGGGAAAGAUUUAUCGCAGGAGGAGGGGCCCGCGUCGGAUUAGGUAGUUGGUGGGGUAACGGCCUACCAAGCCGAUGAUCCGUAGCUGGUCUGAGAGGAUGAUCAGCCACAUUGGGACUGAGACACGGCCCAGACUCCUACGGGAGGCAGCAGUGGGGGAUAUUGGACAAUGGGCGCAAGCCUGAUCCAGCAAUGCCGCGUGAGUGAUGAAGGCCUUCGGGUUGUAAAGCUCUUUCGCCCGCGACGAUGAUGACGGUAGCGGGAGAAGAAGCCCCGGCUAACUUCGUGCCAGCAGCCGCGGUAAUACGAAGGGGGCGAGCGUUGUUCGGAAUCACUGGGCGUAAAGGGCGCGUAGGCGGCUCUGUUUGUCGCGUGUGAAAGCCCCGGGCUCAACCUGGGAGGUGCGCGCGAGACGGCCGGGCUGGAGUUCGGGAGAGGAGCGUGGAAUUCCCAGUGUAGAGGUGAAAUUCGUAGAUAUUGGGAAGAACACCGGUGGCGAAGGCGGCGCUCUGGACCGAGACUGACGCUGAGGCGCGAAAGCGUGGGGAGCAAACAGGAUUAGAUACCCUGGUAGUCCACGCUGUAAACGAUGUGUGCUAGACGUUGGGAGGCCUAGCCUCUCGGUGUCGCAGCCAACGCGGUAAGCACACCGCCUGGGGAGUACGGCCGCAAGGUUAAACUCAAAGGAAUUGACGGGGCCCGCACAGCGGUGGAGCAUGUGGUUUAAUUCGACGCAACGCGAAGAACCCUACCAGC